rfam:Coccidioides immitis RMSCC 2394 supercont1.4 genomic scaffold, whole genome shotgun sequence.
GCCUGGUUAGCUCAAUCGGUAGAGCGUGAGACUCUUAAUCUCAAGGCUGCGGGUUCGAGCCCCGCAUCGGGCU